rnacentral:ncRNA from 1 species
CAAUUGCAUCAGGAAUCCCAAAUGGGUACCAACCGAGAGAACAUACUCCACGGUGGUAAAACGAUGCGGACCGGAAGGUCAAAAUAAAAGUAAUCUAC